CAUGUUCGGUGCUUGGUGCGCACGACAACUCAUACAUUGCGUUCGGUCAUUUCAUUUACGAAUUUGAAGCCUGGCAGACAGAAGUGAAAAAGAGAAAAAAACGAGCUAAACAGUGAAGUGAAUAAAUUUUAACCAAAAAAAGAAGAAAAUUUAAAGAUAUUGAAUGAGAUAAUCACACGAAUAAAGCGAAAAAAAAUUAAAUAAAUUAUUGUGUUUUAAAAUCAUUGAAUUUUUGAAAGA